rnacentral:rRNA from 1 species
GACGAACGCUGGCGGCGUGCCUAAUACAUGCAAGUAGAACGCUGAAGAGAGGAGCUUGCUCUUCUUGGAUGAGUUGCGAACGGGUGAGUAACGCGUAGGUAACCUGCCUUGUAGCGGGGGAUAACUAUUGGAAACGAUAGCUAAUACCGCAUAACAAUGGAUGACACAUGUCAUUUAUUUGAAAGGGGCAAUUGCUCCACUACAAGAUGGACCUGCGUUGUAUUAGCUAGUAGGUGAGGUAAUGGCUCACCUAGGCGACGAUACAUAGCCGACCUGAGAGGGUGAUCGGCCACACUGGGACUGAGACACGGCCCAGACUCCUACGGGAGGCAGCAGUAGGGAAGCUUCGGCAAUGGGGGCAACCCUGACCGAGCAACGCCGCGGGAGUGAAGAAGGUUGUCGGAUCGUAAAGUUCUGUUGUAAGUCAAGAACGGGUGUGAGAGUGGAAAGUUCACACUGUGACGGUAGCUUACCAGAAAGGGACGGCUAACUACGUG